GGAAGGUGGUAUUUCUUGAAGGAAGCACUCCAUCUUCGGUGUGAGCCCCUGCUGCAGGAAGGAAGGCAAAGCCAGACACGGGCACAGGCACAGCAGACUGGGAUGCUGGGAAGGAUUCUCCAUUAGCCUGGCACUCUGAAGUUGUGAAGCCCUCUGAGCAUUCUGCAGGCGUGUCUGCAGGGACGACCUCACCAACUCCUACCUUGGAUGCUGCACAAAAGGCCAGCUCCCAUGGCAGGGGU